CCACGGAAUCUGGGCUGCCUCUAGAAGCUGGAAAACGGAAGCAACAGAUGCUCCCCGGCAGCCUUCUGAAAGAACACAGCCCUGCUGACACCUUAACUUUAGUCCAAAAGCACAAGCAAGAAUGUGUGAGAAGAUCACAGAGACCUAAAGAAGGGGAAGGGAAGAACCCACAUGUGAGAGAGAAGAGAUUGUCUGACUUGUCAGUGUUCCUAAUUGCACUGCCCCUGGAAAACGCACGGAGAAGAAAUACAGCAAAAUACAUGAGAUGGUGAAACACUCUGGCAACUGCAAGCGGACAGAUGGGAUCUGGGAGGUAAUGCAGGGUCACAGGGCAGUUACACCAGGAUAUUUGGUUCUUUCCUACUCUCCUUUCCCCACCCUCAAUGCUAUAUACAUAACUGCUAGUGAAUCAAUUUAUGUACAUAUCCCAGAUAUCUAGGACUGGUUGAGGCGGGUUAUCCAAGAGAGUCACAGUGUAUUACCAUUUUUUAUUAAGUACAACCAGACCAACAGAGAACUGAUUAACUCAACCACUGAACUUUAUGUUUUCCCCCAUCAUCUAUAGAAUUGAUUUUACUGGAUUUUGACAUGUCAGUUUAUCACUUACUUUAUCCUUCAGUGAAGGACACACUAAGGAAUGGAGUUAUUAAGCUUGUUCUACUGGCUGUGAGGAUGUUGUUGAGGGACAUUGUUCAUGACGUUAUGUUGUGUCAUUUUUAUGAGGACUCAAUGGAAGGACUUCUGUCUGAUUUCAGUACUGGAAGUAGUCAUACUUCUCCUGAGCAACCAUUUUCUUUCUCCGUUAUAAAAAUCUCAUUGUCUCUGUGAA
rnacentral:lncRNA from 1 species